rnacentral:rRNA from 1 species
GAUGAACGCUGGCGGCGUGCUUAAUACAUGCAAGUCGAGCGAACGGGCGAGUAGCUUUCUGCUGUGAUGUUAGCAGUGGAGGAGUGAGGAACAACACGUUAAUCACCCUAUCCCUCUUGGUUAAUUUCCGGAUACCGGAGUUACUAACAGAUGAUAUUUUGAAUCUGAUGGUUCAAAGGUCAAAGAAGGAUAUGCUUUCACUUGUUGAUGGAUCCGCGCUGCAUUAGCUUGUUGGUAAGGUAACGGCGUACCAAGGCAACGAUGCAUAGCCGCCCUGAGAGGGGGGUCGGCGACAAUGGAACUGAGGCACGAUCCAGACUCCUACGACGGGCAGCAGUAGGGAGUCUUCCGCAAUGGGCGGAGGCCUGCCGGUGCAGCGCCGCGUGAGGAAUGAUGGUCUUCUGAUCGUUGAACUCUGUUAUUAGGGAAGAACAUAUGUGUAAGUAACUGUGCACAUCUUGACGGUACCUAAACAGAAAGCCACGGCUAACUACGUG